rnacentral:rRNA from 1 species
CACGUAGGCACCAAGCGUUGUCCGGAAUUAUUGGGCGUAAAGAGCGUGUAGGCGGCCAGAUAAGUCCGCUGUGAAAUCUCGAGGCUCAACUUCGAGCUGUCGGUGGAAACUAUCUGGCUAGAGUUCGGUAGGGGAGAUCGGAAUUCCUGGUGUAGCGGUGAAAAUGCGCAGAUAUCAGGAGGAACACCGGUGGCGAAGGCAGGUCUCUGGGCAUUAACUGACGCUGAGGAGCGAAAGCAUGGGGAGCGAACAGG